GACGAACCGUGCGAACGUUGUUCGGAAUCACUGGGCUUAAAGGGCGCGUAGGCGGCCAACUAAGUCAGACGUGAAAUCCCUCGGCUUAACCGGGGAACUGCGUCUGAUACUGGAUGGCUUGAGAUUGGGGAGAGGGAUGCGGAAUUCCAGGUGUAGCGGUGAAAUGCGUAGAUAUCUGGAGGAACACCGGUGGCGAAGGCGGCAUCCUGGGACCAACACUGACGCUGAGGAGCGAAAGCCAGGGGAGCAAACGGAGA
rnacentral:rRNA from 1 species